rnacentral:rRNA from 1 species
UACGGGGGGGGCGAAGCGUUGUUCGGAAUUACUGGGCGUAAAGGGCUCGUAGGUGGCCAACUAAGUCAGACGUGAAAUCCCUCGGCUUAACCGGGGAACUGCGUCUGAUACUGGAUGGCUUGAGUUCGGGAGAGGGAUGCGGAAUUCCAGGUGUAGCGGUGAAAUGCGUAGUAUAUCUGGAGGAACACCGGUGGCGAAGGCGGCAUCCUGGACCGACACUGACACUGAGGAGCGAAAGCCAGGGGAGCAAACGGG